CCCUAUGGGGUGCAGCAGGCGAGAAAACUUUGCAAUGUGCGAAAGCACGACAAGGUUAAUCCGAGUGGUUUCUGCUAAAGGAACCUUUUGUCAGUCCUAGAAACACUGAUGAAUAAGGGGUGGGCAAGUUCUGGUGUCAGCCGCCGCGGUAAAACCAGCACCUCAAGUGGUCAGGAUGAUUAUUGGGCCUAAAGCAUCCGUAGCCUGCUUUGUUAGUUUUCGGUUAAAUCCAUACGCUCAACGUAUGGGCUGCCGGGAAUACUGCAAAGCUAGGGAGUGGGAGAGGUAGACGGUACUCGGUAGGAAGGGGUAAAAUCCUUUGAUCUAUUGAUGACCACCUGUGGCGAAGGCGGUCUACCAGAACACGUCCGACGGUGAGGGAUGAAAGCUGGGGGAGCAAACCGGAUUAGAUACCCGGGUAGUCCCAGCUGUAAACUAUGCAAACUCGGUGAUGCAUUGGCUUGAUGCCAAUGCAGUGCCGCAGGGAAGCCGUUAAGUUUGCCGCCUGGGAAGUACGUACGCAAGUAUGAAACUUAAAGGAAUUGGCGGGGGAGCACCACAAGGGGUGAAGCCUGCGGUUCAAUUGGAGUCAACGCCAGAAAUCUUACCCGGAGAGACAGCAGAAUGAAGGUCAAGCUGAAGACUUUACCAGACAAGCUGAGAGGUGGUGCAUGGCC
rnacentral:rRNA from 1 species